rnacentral:rRNA from 1 species
UCCACGCCCUAAACGAUGAAUGUUAGUCGUUGGAGUCCUAGUGACUUCAGUGAUGCAGCUAACGCAUUAAACAUUCCGCCUGGGGAGUACGGUCGCAAGAUUAAAACUCAAAGGAAUAGACGGGGACCCGCACAAGUGGUGGAGCAUGUGGUUUAAUUCGAAGAUACGCGAAGAACCUUACCUGGCCUUGACAUUGAGAGAACCCUGCAGAGAUGCGGGGGG